rnacentral:rRNA from 1 species
UACGUAGGCAGCGAGCGUUGUUCGGAAUUACUGGGCGUAAAGAGUGUGUAGGCGGUGUUCUAAGUCUGUUGUGAAAUCUCCCGGCUCAACUGGGAGGGUGCGGCGGAAACUGGAGUGCUCGAGUGUGGGAGAGGUAAGCGGAAUUCCUGGUGUAGCGGUGAAAUGCGUAGAUAUCAGGAGGAACACCUGUGGUGUAGACAGCUUACUGGACCACGACUGACGCUGAGGCACGAAAGCGUGGGUAGCAAACAGG